rnacentral:rRNA from 1 species
UACAGAGGGUGCGAGCGUUAAUCGGAAUUACUGGGCGUAAAGCGUGCGUAGACGGUUUCGUAAGUCGGGCGUGAAAGCCCCGGGCUCAACCUGGGAACGGCGCUUGGGACGGCGAGGCUGGAGUUCGGGAGAGGAGGAGUGGGAAUUCCCGAAGUGUAGAGGUGGAAAAUUCGUAGAUAUUGGGAAGAACACCGGUGGCGAAGGCGGCUCUCUGGACCGACACUGACGCUGAGG